UACGUAGGGUGCGAGCGUUGUCCGGAAUUAUUGGGCGUAAAGGGCUCGUAGGCGGUUUGUCGCGUCGGGAGUGAAAACCUUGGGCUUAACUCAGGGCUUGCUUUCGAUACGGGCAGACUAGAGGUAUGCAGGGGAGAACGGAAUUCCUGGUGUAGCGGUGAAAUGCGUAGAUAUCUGGAGGAACACCGGUGGCGAAGGCGGCGUCCUGGACCAACACUGACACUGAGGAGCGAAAGCCAGGGGAGCAAACGGG
rnacentral:rRNA from 1 species